rnacentral:rRNA from 1 species
UACGUAGGGGGCAAGCGUUGUCCGGAUUUAUUGGGCGUAAAGAGCGUGUAGGCGGCUUUACAGGUCCGUUGUGAAAACUCGAGGCUCAACCUCGAGACGCCGGUGGAAACCGUAAGGCUAGAGUCCGGAAGAGGAGAGUGGAAUUCCGUGGUGUAGCGGUGAAAUGCGCAGAUAUCAGGAAGAACACCCGUGGCGAAGGCGGCUCUCUGGGACGGUACUGACGCUGAGACGCGAAAGCGUGGGGAGCGAACAGG